UCAGGCUUUUUAAUCAAUGUGGAUGUGAAACUGCAUUUAAAGCUAACAAUGAGAGUUAACUCAGCAUGUUUUGACACAGCUGAUUUGACUGAUUAGCACUAUUUUUUAAGUGAAGAUUGUGACUUGAACCAUAUCACCAAGAGAACUCAGGCUUCAUCUUGGUAUAUCAGGACUGCAUCUGCCUGUUUGGACUGUAUAAUCUCACACCUGACUGAGCUUCCAGAUUAACAGCUGCAGUCUGAGUUUUUCUACUAGAAAGUCUACAAUAAUCCAGGCUUUUUUUAAGCUGCCAUGGCGAUGUCAACUCCACGUUUUAGGGCUCCAAGUCACAAGUACUGAAGAGGUUCUAACUUAUAGGACGAUCCAGAUCCAAAUGUGUUAACGAGAAGUUUUCCCCCACCAUCUUCACAACUACUUGCAGACCUCCAGUUGAGUCUUGGAUCCUCAAUGAGCGCCCUGAGGUCACUGACUUGGGGAAUCCGAACAGUCUUGAUGGCUGCGUGGCGCUUUGCUCUGCAGACUUCAGC